rnacentral:rRNA from 1 species
GGGAGACACACGGCGGGUGCUAACGUCCGUCGUGAAGAGGGAAACAACCCAGACCGCCAGCUAAGGUCCCAAAGUCAUGGUUAAGUGGGAAACGAUGUGGGAAGGCCCAGACAGCCAGGAUGUUGGCUUAGAAGCAGCCAUCAUUUAAAGAAAGCGUAAUAGCUCACUGGUCGAGUCGGCCUGCGCGGAAGAUGUAACGGGGCUAAACCAUGCACCGAAGCUGCGGCAGCGACACUAUGUGUUGUUGGGUAGGGGAGCG